rnacentral:lncRNA from 1 species
UAAGUUUAUGCAAAGAAGUUGUGAAGAUAUCAUUUUAAAGCAUAAGCAGAUAUAUUUACAAAUUAGAACUCGUAAUGGUCGAAUAUUAAGAUGAAGUCGUAAUAAAGGAAUCAAAAAAGAUCGAAUCAAGAGACAAGAUGGUUGUAAAAAGUAAUCACACUAGCUGUUGUUUAGUGAGCACAGAUGGCUGCUUCAUAUAUAACAAAUAGUAGAAGAGUUAAAAAGCAAGCUGAUAAAAAAAAUUUAUGUUGAAAGUUGUGAUCAGAAAAUUAAUUUGUAAUCCAGCAAUGUUUCUAAUGAUUGUUAAAGUAUUUGUUAUGAUGACAAUGUAUAUGAAAGUAAUAAUGACAAUGCAAGAGAAAAUUUUCCUGUUCGAGAUAUGAUCUUAAAAAAAUGUAGUGAUUUGUC